rnacentral:tRNA from 1 species
GCUUUCAUAGCUCAGUUGGUUAGGCACCCGUUUAGUAAGCGGGAGUCUUGAGUUCACUCUCAAUGAAGCA